rnacentral:rRNA from 1 species
UACAGAGGCCACAAGCGUUAGUCGGAAUCACUGGGCUUAAAGGGUGCGUAGGCUGGUCUGCAAGCGUCUUGUGAAAUACCCCGGCUCAACCGGGGAACAGCAGGGCGAACUGCGGAUCUUGAGGCAUGUAGGGGCUGCGAGAACAGUAGGUGGAGCGGUGAAAUGCGUAGAUAUCUACUGGAAUGCCGAUGGUGAAGACGCGCAGCUGGGCAUGUCCUGACGCUGAGGCACGAAAGCGUGGGGAGCAAACAGG